ACACAAGUGUUAUUCGGCGCAAGUUUGUUAUUGUUAAUCUCAAACAUUUGACAAUUUAUUUCAGUAGCUAUUUCGAAUUUCAUAAUUGUUUCGUACUUGUUAAGAAUAAGUUUAAGAAAUGUCGCAAAAUAGUGACAAAAUUAAAGGUUUAAAAAGAUUUUUUGUGCAAAAGGAAAAAACAGACGAAGGAAAUCCAGAAAACGUUUCACAUGAAACUCACAGCGAUAAGCCCGAUACAGAAGCCGCAAAUGCCGAACAAAUCGAACCCGCACCGAGUGUUGAUAAUGAAAAAAACACAAAACUCGUCUGAAUUGCCUGAACUCGAAACCGAAGAAUAUGAACGCGAAUAUGAC